GAAACAUGAAUAUCAUGGUGACACUUCUUUAUUAUCACCCCUCGUAGUUUCUAGCAAUUUUGAAACCUACACAAUGUAUUUCAUCCACCUUUUCCUCCAAUAAAGUACUUUUUGCAUCCCUCACUUUAUGUGUGUAUUAGGGUUGUUUUCAAAAGUCAUUCGGGAAUUCCCUGUACUUUGAAUAUCUUUACUGCAUAAUUAACUAUGAUUACAAUAAAUGGAC
rnacentral:lncRNA from 1 species